UGGGGAAUAUUGGACAAUGGGCGAAAGCCUGAUCCAGCCAUGCCGCGUGUGUGAAGAAGGUCUUCGGAUUGUAAAGCACUUUAAGUUGGGAGGAAGGGCAUUAACCUAAUACGUUAGUGUUUUGACGUUACCGACAGAAUAAGCACCGGCUAACUCUGUGCCAGCAGCCGCGGUAAUACAGAGGGUGCAAGCGUUAAUCGGAAUUACUGGGCGUAAAGCGCGCGUAGGUGGUUUGUUAAGUUGGAUGUGAAAGCCCCGGGCUCAACCUGGGAACUGCAUCCAAAACUGGCAAGCUAGAGUACGGUAGAGGGUGGUGGAAUUUCCUGUGUAGCGGUGAAAUGCGUAGAUAUAGGAAGGAACACCAGUGGCGAAGGCGACCACCUGGACUGAUACUGACACUGGGGUGCGAAAGCGUGGGGAGCAAACA
rnacentral:rRNA from 1 species